rnacentral:rRNA from 1 species
GAUGAACGCUGGCGGUAUGCUUAACACAUGCAAGUCGAACGGACUCUUCGGAGUUAGUGGCGGACGGGUGAGUAACGCGUGAGAAUCUGGCUUUGGGUUCGGGACAACCACUGGAAACGGUGGCUAAUACCGGAUGUGCCGAGCGGUAAAAGAGAAAUUGCCUGAAGAUGAGCUCGCGUCUGAUUAGCUAGUUGGUGAGGUAAAGGCUCACCAAGGCAGCGAUCAGUAGCUGGUCUGAGAGGAUGACCAGCCACACUGGGACUGAGACACGGCCCAGACUCCUACGGGAGGCAGCAGUGGGGAAUUUUCCGCAAUGGGCGAAAGACUGACGGAGCAAUACCGCGUGAGGGAAGAAGGCUCUUGGGUUGUAAACCUCUUUUCUUAGGGAAGAACAAAAUGACGGUACCUAAGGAAUCAGCAUCGGCUAACUCCGUG